AUUGAACGCUGGCGGCAGGCCUAACACAUGCCAGUCGAGCGGAUGAAGGGAGCUUGCUCCUGGAUUCAGCGGCGGACGGGUGAGUAAUGCCUAGGAAUCUGCCUGGUAGUGGGGGAUAACGUCCGGAAACGGGCGCUAAUACCGCAUACGUCCUGAGGGAGAAAGUGGGGGAUCUUCGGACCUCACGCUAUCAGAUGAGCCUAGGUCGGAUUAGCUAGUUGGUGGGGUAAAGGCCUACCAAGGCGACGAUCCGUAACUGGUCUGAGAGGAUGAUCAGUCACACUGGAACUGAGACCCGGUCCAGCCUCCUACGGGGGGCAGCAGGGGGGAAUUUGGGAAAAUGGGCGAAAGCCUACUCCAGCCAUGCCGGGUGUGUGAAGAAGGUCUUCGGAUUGUAAAGCAUUUUAAGUUGGGGGGAAGGGCAGUAAGUUAAUACCUUGCUGUUUUGACGUUACCAACAGAAUAAGCACCGGAUAACUUCGU
rnacentral:rRNA from 1 species